rnacentral:misc_RNA from 1 species
UUUCCGUAGGUGAACCUGCGGAAGGAUCAUUCAUAAUAAAGUGUUUUAUGGCACUUUUUAAAAAUCCAUAUCCACCUUGUGUGCAAUGUUAGAUCUCGUCAAUCUUGGCGAGAUUUUUAUACAUUAACUCAUUCUUUAACUAAUUUGUCUGAAAAAUAUUAUGAAUACUUAAUUCAAAAUACAACUUUCAACAACGGAUCUCUUGGCUCUC